rnacentral:rRNA from 1 species
GACGUAGGGGGCCAGCGUUGCUCGGAAUUACUGGGUGUAAAGGGUUCGUAGGCGGUGUGGCAAGUCGGGAGUGAAAUCUCUGGGCUCAACCCAGAGUCUGCUUCCGAAACUGCCGUGCUUGAGUGUGGGAGAGGCGCGUGGAAUUGCAGGUGUAGCGGUGAAAUGCGUAGAUAUCUGCAGGAACACCCGUGGCGAAAGCGGCUCACUGGACCAUAACUGACGCUGAUGCACGAAAGCUAGGGGAGCAAACAGG